CCCUUAGAUGUUCUGGGCCGCACGCGCGCUACACUGACGAUGUCAACGAGUCUCUCCUUGGCCGAAAGGUCUGGGUAAUCUUCUGAAACAUCGUCGUGCUGGGGAUAGAUCAUUGCAAUUUUUGAUCUUGAACGAGGAAUUCCUAGUAAGCGCGAGUCAUCAGCUCGCGUUGAUUACGUCCCUGCCCUUUGUACACACCGCCCGUCGCUACUACCGAUUGAAUGGUUUAGUGAGGACUCCUGAUUGGCGCCGCCGCCCCGGCAACGGAGUAGUGGACUGCCGAAAAGUUGUUCAAACUUGAUCAUUUAGAGGAAGUAAAAGUCGUAACA
rnacentral:rRNA from 1 species